CAGUCGCCGCGGUAAUACGUAGGUGGCAAGCGUUGUCCGGAAUUAUUGGGCGUAAAGCGCGCGCAGGUGGUUUAAUAAGUCUGAUGUGAAAGCCCACGGCUCAACCGUGGAGGGUCAUUGGAAACUGUUAAACUUGAGUGCAGGAGAGAAAAGUGGAAUUCCUAGUGUAGCGGUGAAAUGCGUAGAGAUUAGGAGGAACACCAGUGGCGAAGGCGGCUUUUGGCCUGUAACUGACACUGAGGCGCGAAAGCGUGGGGAGCAAACAGGAUUAGAUACCCCGGUAGUCCCUGUCUCUUAUACC
rnacentral:rRNA from 1 species